UACGAGAGGCCCAAACGUUAUUCGGAUUUACUGGGCUUAAAGAGUCCGUAGGCGGCGCAGAAAGUGGGGUGUGAAAGCCCUCGGCUCAACCGAGGAAUUGCGCUCCAAACUCCUGUGCUUGAGGAAUCUAGAGGUGAGCGGAACUGAUGGUGGAGCGGUGAAAUGCGUUGAUAUCAUCAGGAACACCGGAGGCGAAGGCGGCUCACUGGGGAUUUUCUGACGCUGAGGGACGAAAGCCAGGGAGCGAAC
rnacentral:rRNA from 1 species